rnacentral:rRNA from 1 species
UGGGGAAUUUUGGACAAUGGGGGCAACCCUGACCCAGCCAUGCCGCGUGCGGGAAGAAGGCCUUCGGGUUGUAAACCGCUUUUGUCAGGGAAGAAAUCUUCUGAGUUAAUACCUCGGGAGGAUGACGGUACCUGAAGAAUAAGCACCGGCUAACUACGUGCCAGCAGCCGCGGUAAUACGUAGGGUGCAAGCGUUAAUCGGAAUUACUGGGCGUAAAGCGUGCGCAGGCGGUUUUGUAAGACAGAGGUGAAAUCCCCGGGCUCAACCUGGGAACUGCCUUUGUGACUGCAAGGCUUGAGUGCGGCAGAGGGGGGAUGGAAUUCCGCGUGUAGCAGUGAAAUGCGUAGAUAUGCGGAGGAACACCGAUGGCGAAGGCAAUCCCCUGGGCCUGCACUGACGCUCAUGCACGAAAGCGUGGGGAGCAAACAGGAUUAGAUACCCUGGUAGUCCACGCCCUAAACGAUGUCAGCUGGUUGUUGGGAAGGUUCCUUCUCAGUAACGUAGCUAACGCGUGAAGUUGACCGCCUGGGGAGUACGGCCGCAAGGUU